rnacentral:lncRNA from 1 species
UGAAGAAUUGCAUUGAUUUUUUUACUAUUAUAAUUUCUAAUCUUUGUAUAAUAAGAGCCAUAAUCUAAAAUUUUGGUUUCCAUCCUUAUAGCCUUAAUACAAGGUUGCUCUAAAAUCACUGAGUAAAUAGUAGAGUUUUGCACAAAGAAAUUUUUCUCUACCUCCGCAUCUCUAAUCCUUGUUCUAACUUCCAAACAUGCCCCAUACAAAUCACCUUGCUUAUUGUUAGUGGCCUUCAAUAUCCAUCCAUAUUUAACAUCAAUGAACUACUUGUCCACCUCA